rnacentral:rRNA from 1 species
AUAUCAAUAAGCGGAGGAAAAGAAACUAACAAGGAUUCCCCUAGUAACGGCGAGUGAAGCGGGAAGAGCUCAAAUUUGAAAUCUAGUAGCCUUCGGCUGCUCGAGUUGUAAUCUAGAGAAGUGUUUUCCGUGCCGGCCCAUGUACAAGUCCCUUGGAACAGGGCGUCAUAGAGGGUGAGAAUCCCGUCCUUGACAUGGACCCCCGGUGCUCUGUGAUACACUUUCAACGAGUCGAGUUGUUUGGGAAUGCAGCUCAAAAUGGGUGGUGAAUUCCAUCUAAAGCUAAAUAUUGGCGAGAGACCGAUAGCGAACAAGUACCGUGAGGGAAAGAUGAAAAGCACUUUGGAAAGAGAGUUAAACAGUACGUGAAAUUGUUGAAAGGGAAACGAUUGAAGUCAGUCAUGCUCUUUGGUAUUUAUAUCAUUGAGUGGGGUCAACAUCAGUUUUGAGCGAUGGAUAAAGGCACUAGGAAGGUAGCACUCUCGGGUGAACUUAUAGCCUAGCGUCAUAUACAUUGUUUGGGACUGAGGAACGCAGCAUGCCUUUAUGGCCGGGAUUCGUCCACGUACAUGCUUAGGA